GACGAACGCUGGCGGCGUGCUUAACACAUGCAAGUCGAACGGAAAGGCCCUGCUUGCAGUGUACUCGAGUGGCAAACGGGUGAGUAACACGUGGGUGAUCUGCCCUGCACUUCGGGAUAAGCCUGGUAAACUGGGUCUAAUACCGUAUAGGAGCCAUUUUUAGGGUGAUGGUUGGAAAGUUUUUUCGGUUUUGGAUGAGCUCGCGGCCUAUCAGCUUGUUGGUGGGGUAAUGGCCUACCAAGGCGGCGACGGGUAGCCGGCCUGAGAGGGUGGACGGCCACAUUGGGACUGAGAGGAGGCACAGGCUGCUAAGGGGGGGAGCAGGGGGGAAGAUUGCCCAAGGGGCGCCAGGCUGGUGCAGCGACGCCGCGGGGGGGAAGACGGGCUUCGGGUUGUAAAAUCCUUUCGCGAGGGACGAAGCUUUUUGUGACGGUACCUAGAUAAGGAGCACCGGCUAACUACGUG
rnacentral:rRNA from 1 species